rnacentral:ncRNA from 2 species
CGUACGCACUAGGGGAGCUAUAACUAUGGCUGAGAAGGCAAUGCCUGACCCUUAUAACCCGAACUAGAUAAUACUAGCGUGGGGAAGUGUAGUUCGUUGUAU